AUUAUUGAAUAAAUUUGAACAGGUUGUUGCUGGCCCUCCUUGUAGGGGAGUAUGUGCACGCUUGUCUUCUUUAUUUUCUCCAACUUGUGCACAUAUUUGUAGGCUCUGGAAGCUUUUAUUGAGAAAUCAAAUAGAUUGAGGAAUUAGUGAAGCUUUUCCUUGUGCUGCCUUUCCAGGCCUAUGUUAUCUUUCACAAACUAUGAAAUGUGUUAUAGAAUGAUGUUACAAAAGUUGAAAUAAUAUUACAACUUUCAGCAACGGAUCUCUUGGCUCUCGCAUCGAUGAAGAACGCAGCGAAAUGCGAUAAGUAAUGUGAAUUGCAGAAUUCAGUGAAUCAUCGAAUCUUUGAACGCAUCUUGCGCUCCUUGGUAUUCUGAGGAGCAUGCCUGUUUGAGUGUCAUUAAAUUCUCAACUAUACAUAGCAGUAUAGAUUGGAUUAUGGGAGUUUUUCUUUGCAGGCUCUCUCAAAGAGUCAGCUCUCCUGAAAUAUAUUAGUGGUAUCUGUGCAGAAAACUACAGGUGUGAUAACUAAAUCCCAAGCCUCUAGUUAAGCUGAUUAGACUGCUUCUGAACCAAAAAAUCAUGUUGACUUGACCUCAAAUCAGGUAGGACUACCCGCUGAACUUAAGCAUAUCAAUAAGCGGAGGAA
rnacentral:rRNA from 1 species